UAGUUUCUCUCUUUCUUCUACCUUCUUAGUGGGUGGCAAUAUGGUGUUUUUUGGCUUAGAAAAAAAAAUGAAUAAUUGCAAGCGAUGGACCCACGAAUCACAAUGUUUAAUGUUAGCAUUGAAAAUAGUUGGCAACUUGGUUGGAAUUUGGGUCCCCAAAUACCUUCGAAACUAAAAGUAAACCAUAAAUGGUAUCCAUAGCCACGUGCUUUAGUAACCCCCUACACUUUUA
rnacentral:lncRNA from 1 species